CUAAAUUACACAAAUUACACAAUUCCCACCUAUCCAUCAAAACAAAUUCAAAUAGCACACUGACCACAGUCCACUCUUUCAAAUACUUGGUUAUGUUGUUAGACCCCAACCUAUCUUUUGGCCUCCACAUAGAAAAACUUGCAUCUAAACUUUAUCUAAAACUAGGUGCCCUGUACAGAAAUAAAUCCUGCCUAAGCCCUACAGUAAAGGAAAAGAUUGUACAGCAAAUUCUAAUGCCAAUCAUUGAUUAUAGGGAUAUAGUAUAUGCAUCGGCACCGCAAUCUCACAUUAAUAAACUCAAUACAUUGUAUUACUCGUUCUGAUGAUUUGUGCUACAAUGUAAUUACGGGACCCACCAUUGUGACAUGCUAAAAGAACUAAACUGGCUGUCGCUGGAAUCCAGACGCACCCAUCAUCUUUCCAGCCUUGGGUUAAGAGCUUUUUUGGGAAACUCCCACCCUACCUGAGCAAAAUGCUCUCCUCGGCUGUUCCCACCUCCUAUAACCUCCGAUCCAGUACCAGCACUUUAUUUAGUCUACCUCAAUACAAAAAGAAAGCAGCCCGAUCCUCCUUCUACUACAGAGCGCCGCAAUUGUGGAACGACCUCCCGCACACUUUAAAAUCUUCCCCAAGCCUAAAGUCAUUUAAGAGAUCCCUC